AGUUCGGAUUGUAGUCUGCAACUCGACUACAUGAAGCUGGAAUCGCUAGUAAUCGCGAAUCAGAAUGUCGCGGUGAAUACGUUCCCGGGUCUUGUACACACCGCCCGUCACACCAUGGGAGUCGGGAAUGCCCGAAGUCAGUGACCCAACCGGAAGGAGGGAGCUGCCGAAGGCAGGCUCGAUAACUGGGGUGAAGUCGUAACAAGGUAAC
rnacentral:rRNA from 1 species